UGACUUACUGUGGUAAUAGCAGGUAGCAUUAGUCUCCAAGACGUUUACAUAAUGACUUACUGUGGUAAUAGCAGGUAGAAUUAAUAGCAGGUAGCAUUAGUCUCCAAGACGUUUCCAUAAUGACUUACUGUGGUAAUAGCAGGUAGCAUUAGUCUCCAAGACGUUUCCAUAAUGACUUACUGUGGUAAUAGCAGGUAGCAUUAGUCUCCAAGACGUUUCCAUAAUGACUUACUGUGGUAAUAGC